AGCCCAGCUUGCUGGGUGGAUUAGUGGCGAACGGGUGAGUAACACGUGAGCAACCUGCCCCUGACUCUGGGAUAACAGCCGGAAACGGUUGCUAAUACCGGAUAUGCAUCAUGGCCGCAUGGUCUGUGGUGGGAAAGAUUUUUCGGUUGGGGAUGGGCUCGCGGCCUAUCAGCUUGUUGGUGAGGUAGUGGCUCACCAAGGCGUCGACGGGUAGCCGGCCUGAGAGGGUGACCGGCCACACUGGGACUGAGACACGGCCCAGACUCCUACGGGAGGCAGCAGUGGGGAAUAUUGCACAAUGGGCGGAAGCCUGAUGCAGCAACGCCGCGUGAGGGAUGACGGCCUUCGGGUUGUAAACCUCUUUUAGCAGGGAAGAAGCGAAAGUGACGGUACCUGCAGAAAAAGCGCCGGCUAACUACGUGCCAGCAGCCGCGGUAAUACGUAGGGCGCAAGCGUUAUCCGGAAUUAUUGGGCGUAAAGAGCUCGUAGGCGGUUUGUCGCGUCUGCUGUGAAAACCCGAGGCUCAACCUCGGGCCUGCAGUGGGUACGGGCAGACUAGAGUGCGGUAGGGGAGAUUGGAAUUCCUGGUGUAGCGGUGGAAUGCGCAGAUAUCAGGAGGAACACCGAUGGCGAAGGCAGAUCUCUGGGCCGUUACUGACGCUGAGGAGCGAAAGGGUGGGGAGCAAACAGGCUUAGAUACCCUGGUAGUCCACCCCGUAAACGUUGGGAACUAGUUGUGGGGGCCUUUCCACGGUCUCCGUGACGCAGCUAACGCAUUAAGUUCCCCGCCUGGGGAGUACGGCCGCAA
rnacentral:rRNA from 1 species